rnacentral:rRNA from 1 species
UGGGGAAUUUUCCGCAAUGGGCGAAAGCCUGACGGAGCAAGACCGCGUGAGGGAGGAAGGCUCUUGGGUUGUAAACCUCUUUUCUCAGGGAAGAAGCACUGACGGUACCUGAGGAAUCAGCAUCGGCUAACUCCGUGCCAGCAGCCGCGGUAAUACGGAGGAUGCAAGCGUUAUCCGGAAUCAUUGGGCGUAAAGCGUCCGCAGGUGGCUCUUCAAGUCUGCCGUCAAAACUCAGGGCUUAACCCUGAACAGGCGGUGGAAACUGAAAAGCUAGAGUGCGGUAGGGGUAGAGGGAAUUCCCGGUGUAGCGGUGAAAUGCGUAGAGAUCGGGAAGAACACCAGUGGCGAAAGCGCUCUGCUGGACCUGCACUGACACUGAGGGACGAAAGCUAGGGGAGCGAAUGGGAUUAGAUACCCCAGUAGUCCUAGCCGUAAACGAUGGAGACUAGGUGUGGCUCGUAUCGACCCGAGCCGUGCCGUAGCUAACGCGUUAAGUCUCCCGCCUGGGGAGUACGCACGCAAGUGUGA